rnacentral:rRNA from 13 species
GUGAGACAGGUGCUGCAUGGCUGUCGUCAGCUCGUGUUGUGAAAUGUUGGGUUAAGUCCCGCAACGAGCGCAACCCUUAUCCUUUGUUGCCAGCGGUCCGGCCGGGAACUCAAAGGAGACUGCCAGUGAUAAACUGGAGGAAGGUGGGGAUGACGUCAAGUCAUCAUGGCCCUUACGACCAGGGCUACACACGUGCUACAAUGGCGCAUACAAAGAGAAGCGACCUCGCGAGAGCAAGCGGACCUCAUAAAGUGCGUCGUAGUCCGGAUUGGAGUCUGCAACUCGACUCCAUGAAGUCGGAAUCGCUAGUAAUCGUGGAUCAGAAUGCCACGGUGAAUACGUUCCCGGGCCUUGUACACACCGCCCGUCACACCAUGGGAGUGGGUUGCAAAAGAAGUAGGUAGCUUAACCUUCGGGAGGGCGCUUACCACUUUGUGAUUCAUGACUGGGGUGAAGUCGUAACAAGGUAACCGUAGGGGAACCUGCGGUUGGAUCACCUCCUUACCUUAAAGAAGC